AUGUUUUCAUUCAAUUAAUGCAUUGUCAAACAUUUGUUUUUCCAUUUGUUUUCACUUUUUGCUUUUGCAUGAAAUCAGUGAUCACAAAAAACCCAUAAAAAUAAGAAUAAAAGCAACAUUUUUCAUUUGCAUAAUAAUUUGUUUGUUUAAAUUCUAAAGUUUUUCAUUAACCAAAAUCAUUAUGCAGGUUGAUUCUAAAAC
rnacentral:lncRNA from 1 species